AACGAACGCUGGCGGCAUGCUUAACACAUGCAAGUCGAACGCGCCCUUGGGCUUCGGCCUGGGGGUGAGUGGCGCACGGGUGAGUAGCGCGUGGGAACCUGCCCUGUUGUGGGGGAUAAACCGAGGGAAACUUCGGCUAAUACCGCAUACGCCCGGUGGAGCGAUCCAUCGGGGAAAGAUUUAUCGCAGCAGGAGGGGCCCGCGUCGGAUUAGCUUGUUGGUGGGUAACGG
rnacentral:rRNA from 1 species